GCGAGAGUGGCGGAAUUGGUAGACGCACUGGUCUUAGGAACCAGCGCCUUUGGUAUGGGGGUUC
rnacentral:tRNA from 1 species